rnacentral:rRNA from 1 species
GACGAACGCUGGCGGCGUGCUUAACACAUGCAAGUCGAGCGGUAAGGCUCUUUCGGGGGUACACGAGCGGCGAACGGGUGAGUAACACGUGGGCGACCUGCCCUCAAAAAGCUCUGGGAUAAGCCUGGGAAACUGGGUCUAAUACCGGAUAUGACCACAUGUCGCAUGGUGUGUGGUGGAAAGUUUUUCGGCUGGGGAUGGGCCCGCGGCCUAUCAGCUUGUUGGUGGGGUGAUGGCCUACCAAGGCGA